rnacentral:lncRNA from 1 species
AGGGAAAAGGAUGUUUUGUAAAGUUUUGGCUUGAACGUCCAGGGGCAGAACAGGAAAUGUCCACUGGGUCUGGGAGCCCCACGGAGAAAUCGCUGCAGCCUCCUAGCGCUCUGAUCUGCGGUCCCAUCUGGAAUUUAAAGCUCCUCUGUUUGAAGCCUGGUGCCUUUUUCCCCCUUCCUCUUUUCCUCCAGCACUAUUUUUUUUCCUCCUUAAUGUAACGUCAGCUUCGUUCCUCACAAGCUGGAAAAUUUUUCCUCGGCCUAAACUUGGCUCAGGAAUACUCUCCCCUUGUGAGAGAAUUUCUCCUGUUACACAGUUCAGAUUUAAAAAAAAAAAAAAGAGAGAGAGAGAGAGAGAUUUGUUUUGCCAGCUUUUGUACUAGAAACAUUUUUGAUGGAUCACUCCCCACCCCCACCCCCAACCUCUGGAUUCCAAGAAAUAUACACACCCAUAUCCCUCUUGGCUGUUUGUCUUGUUUGUUUUUUUCUUUUUUUGGCAUAUGGAGUUCCUGGGCCAGGGCUCAGAUGCCAGCCGCAGUUGUGACCCACAUCAUAGCUGUGGCAAUGCUGGAUCCUUUAAUCCACUGUGACUGGCUGGGGAUUGAACCCAUGUCCUGGCACUGCAGAGACACCAUCCACCCUGUUGUGCCACAGCAGGAACUCCUUGACUGUUCUAGGUCUUUCCAUGAUGGAAGCGCAGGAAUUGGCUGUCACAAAUGGGAUCCAGUUCCCACUACAAACUGCCUCCUCAGCGCCCCAGAAAUGAAGCAGGAAGAUUCCUCAUUGUGAUUCUUGGAGAUGCUGAGUUGGGGGUACAGGAGGUGCAAGGGGAUCCUGAUUCAGUUGUUGCUGAUGGCCUGUUACAGAGGAAAAGAGAAUUCGGCUGCCCUUUACAGAGGCCACCACCAGGACAAUAAACUAGGCUCUCCAUGUGGGUCAGGUGUCAUUCUCAGGUAUGUCCAGCAGAUGGAGGCAUUGUUGUUUCAGAAAGAAAACUUGUCCUUCCAAAAAGUCUGCAUUACUGGGGCGGCUGAGGGUCAGCAGGGACUGCCCUUGACUCCUUUUGCACUGGGUGGCCGACAAGGCAAGUAUCCCAGAGUAUGCUGUAGAGACAUCACAGGCUUUGCAGCUGGUGAAGUCGUGGCCAAAUCCAGGCUCCCCCACACUGAGUACAGUGACCCUGUGAACUUAAGUCACUUGAUCCAAAAAGCCAGGAUUUCACAGGUCCACCAACUCCUGCCCAUAUUUCCAAACUCUCACACUCUGAAAACCAGAAGCGUUUAGUAACUCACUCGGC